GAUGAACGCUGGCGGCGUGCCUAAUACAUGCAAGUCGAGCGAACAGACGAGGAGCUUGCUCCUCUGACGUUAGCGGCGGACGGGUGAGUAACACGUGGAUAACCUACCUAUAAGACUGGGAUAACUUCGGGAAACCGGAGCUAAUACCGGAUAAUAUAUUGAACCGCAUGGUUCAAUAGUGAAAGACGGUUUUGCUGUCACUUAUAGAUGGAUCCGCGCCGCAUUAGCUAGUUGGUAAGGCAACGGCUUACCAAGGCAACGAUGCGUAGCCGACCUGAGAGGGUGAUCGGCCACACUGGAACUGAGACACGGUCCAGACUCCUACGGGAGGCAGCAGUAGGGAAUCUUCCGCAAUGGGCGAAAGCCUGACGGAGCAACGCCGCGUGAGUGAUGAAGGUCUUCGGAUCGUAAAACUCUGUUAUUAGGGAAGAACAAAUGUGUAAGUAACUAUGCACGUCUUGACGGUACCUAAUCAGAAAGCCACGGCUAACUAAGUG
rnacentral:rRNA from 1 species